UUGAGGCCGCGAGAUAUUGAGUAUUAUGGCGUAUAGAUUGCAAAAUAUGAGGAAAUUCAAUCUGAACAGUUAACAGUGACAUUGUGUGUUUGCUGGAGCAGCAGAGAUGCUGAGAGUUGCUUGGCAAAGAACUUGAGAUUGGACACUUUUACUUUCAGGAUUCAAUUAUCUGUGUGAGUCACGAGAUUUUCGUGAAGAUGACAACUCACCUUUCGUCCGAGGGGACAAUCUGGGAGAUAGCAGGUUCGCGGGAAGCCCACGGCGAAGAAGGCGCGUCCGGGAUGCGGAUGAUCAGGUCCCUGGACACCAGAGGCGAUACUAAAACGGAUAAAGAUUUAUAUAAUCGAUGAAUUUCAUUACAUUUCACUUUGAAUUCUUA